rnacentral:lncRNA from 1 species
CACAAGAAGCGGCGUGCGGUAAGGGCCUUUGUGACGAGGGUCUUCAGUGGCCUCAAUUGGCUGUUCUCAUCGACGUCAACGAAUGAAGAAUUGAUGCAGAUUUGACUGCUCAUGUCUGAACCUGGGAUAUCCGAGCCCGACUACCUGCCUCUUGGAGCAGAAGUUAGGCCUAAUCUGUGGCUGCCGGGCACAUCGUCUUUUGGACCAAGCGAAUGCAUCGCCACAAGAAGCGGCGUGCGGUAAGGGCCUUUGUGACGAGGGUCUUCAGUGGCCUCAAUUGGCUGUUCUCAUCGACGUCAACGAAUGAAGAAUUGAUGCAGAUUUGACUGCUCAUGUCUGAACCUGGGAUAUCCGAGCCCGACUACCUGCCUCUUGGAGCAGAAGUUAGGCCUAAUCUGUGGCUGCCGGGCACAUCGUCUUUUGGACCAAGCGAAUGCAUCGCCACAAGAAGCGGCGUGCGGUAAGGGCCUUUGUGACGAGGGUCUUCAGUGGCCUCAAUUGGCUGUUCUCAUCGACGUCAACGAAUGAAGAAUUGAUGCAGAUUUGACUGCUCAUGUCUGAACCUGGGAUAUCCGAGCCCGACUACCUGCCUCUUGGAGCAGAAGUUAGGCCUAAUCUGUGGCUGCCGGGCACAUCGUCUUUUGGACCAAGCGAAUGCAUCGCCACAAGAAGCGGCGUGCGGUAAGGGCCUUUGUGACGAGGGUCUUCAGUGGCCUCAAUUGGCUGUUCUCAUCGACGUCAACGAAUGAAGGUGAGCUGCAAGACUAUAAUAAUUCUUCUAAUUACCAGGCAUCCUUUAUGAGAAUUAGAUGGCACGCUUGAAAAAACGGUAUAGGGUAUACACAGUGAAUGGAGAGUGAAAGAUUGGACACUAUCAAGUGUCUUCUUGUUAGGGGAAGUCUGAAGCUACCAGGGACGUAGACGAAAUGCAACAUGCAGUUGGUGCCACUCAAGUGCUUAGUCUGUGAAGG